CAAAACUAUAUUUAUUUAUAAGAGAACAUAAAUGUUAUACACUAAAAAAAUCAAAUCAUAUUCUUUGUUUACUUUGCAAAAUAAGGAAAAAUAUGGCUAAAAUUCACAUGUUUAUUUAUGCCAUGAUUAUAUUUCUUUCUCUAUCUCUUGUUGCACCAGAACAUUUCCCACUUGAACAUGAAUGUAGAAUUGAUCAAGAUUGUACAAGGGUUGUUGAAUAUCCUUUGGUUAUGAGGUGCAUUGGUUACAGAUGUGUAGUUAUUAACACUAAUAAUCCUGGGCCAAAACCUAAGGGAAUUCACAAAUUUCAUGAAGGGAAAAAAUGAUCUCUCCUGCAAGAAAAAUAUUUGUAGUAUAUGGAUACCAAUAAUUAUUAUUUUUAUUUAUGCUUUAUUUUCUAAUUUUAUAAACCUCUAAAUUAUGGCUUGUACUCUAAGAUGACAAUAAUAUAAUAAAAUUAUUUA